rnacentral:ncRNA from 1 species
AUCACACAUGAAGAGAGGACUGACGUCCCGCCAACCUGCCCGGACCGGCAAGGUGGUUCCCCUCCCGGGGCAUGCGACCAAAGGGUAACCAAGUGUCCAUGA